GCCUGGCUAGCUCAGUCGGUAGAGCAUGAGACUCUUAAUCUCAGGGUCGUGGGUUCGAAACCCACGUUGGCCC
rnacentral:tRNA from 1 species